UACGUAGGGGGCAAGCGUUGUCCGGAUUCAUUGGGCGUAAAGAGCUCGUAGGCGGCUGUUCAAGUCGAACGUGAAAACUCGGAGCUCAACUCCGAGCCUGCGUUCGAUACUGGACGGCUAGAGUCUGGUAGGGGGAUCUGGAAUUCCUGGUGUAGCGGUGGAAUGCGCAGAUAUCCACAGGAACUCCGGUGGCGAAGGCGGCACGCUGGACCCUCCCUGACGCUGAGGCGCGAAAGCCAGGGGAGCGAACGGG
rnacentral:rRNA from 1 species